AUGAUUCCCCCAGUAAUGGCGAAUGAACAGGGAAAAGCUCAAAGUUGGAACCUCCUGGCCCUAGGUUAGGCGGAUUGUAAACUAAAGUUUUCGAGUAGUUUGGCUAGCCCGGUAAAUAAGUUCUCUGGAAAGGGACGACAAAGAGGGUGAAAUCCCCGUUUUUGGCCGGAGCAUAGUCUUGCGUUUGCUUGGGAAUGAAGAGUCAGGUUGUUUGGUAUUGCAGCCUAAAGUGGGAGGUAAAUCUCUCCUAAAGCUAAAUAUUGACGAAAGACCGAUAGCGAACAAGUACCGUGAGGGAAAGAUGAAAAGCACCUUGAAAAGGGGGUCAAAAAGUACGUGAAAUUGCUGAAAGGGAACCGUAUGAAAUCAGCUUGGCCGUAUAGUAAUCAGCCUAAACUUUGGUUUGGGUGCACUUGCUAUUUGGUACAGCCUACGACAAUUUUGCUCGGGGGAAAAAAUCAGGGGAAAUGUAGCUUCGGCCUCGGUCGAAGUGUUAUAGGCCUUUGAAAAAUACUCUGGGCGGGAUUGAGGAACGCAGCAAGCCUUUGGGAUGAACUGUGGGCGCUUAUUGGCCAUUGGGGGGAAAUUUCUAUUCAGGUAGUGUUCUCUCAAUGGUUGGUAACUCGGCCACUUUUUCUUUCUCUUGCUUAGGUCGUAGGCAUAAUGAUUUUAUAUGACCCGUCUUGAAACACGGACCAAGGAGUCCACCAUUAUUGCGAGUCUUUGGGCGUAAAAACUCAUCGGCGCAAGGAAACUGACCAAGAUAUGAAGGCGCAAGCUGGCAAUAUCCUCCAGCGAAGACGUUUUAUACUGAAUUGACUGAGAGAAAGCAAUAAUGAUGGGACCCGAAAGAUGGUGAACUAUACUUGAAUAGGGUGAAGCCAGAGGAAACUCUGGUGGAAGCUCGUAGCGAUUCUGACGUGCAAAUCGAUCGUCAAAUUUGAGUAUAGGGGCGAAAGACUAAUCGAACCAUCU
rnacentral:rRNA from 1 species